UUUCCGUAGGUGAACCUGCGGAAGGAUCAUUAUCGUAUAACCGAGGUGCAAGGCCUGGCGCUGUUCAGAAAGGUCGUGCACGCACGAGUGCCCUCACACACCUCCAUCACACCACUCUGUGCACCACCACGCGGGUCCCACUUUGGCUUGUUCGGUGGCGGGCUUAUGGUUUCACACAAACUUUGUCUGCAGCGUAGACUGUAUUCUUUGUUUUGGCGCUCAUGCCAUCAUUCCAACUUUCAACAACGGCUCUCCUGGCCCUCGCAUCGCUGAAGAACG
rnacentral:misc_RNA from 1 species